rnacentral:rRNA from 1 species
GACGAACGCUGGCGGCGUGCUUAACACAUGCAAGUCGAACGGAAAGGCCCUGCUUUUGUGGGGUGCUCGAGUGGCGAACGGGUGAGUAACACGUGAGUAACCUGCCCUUGACUUUGGGAUAACUUCAGGAAACUGGGGCUAAUACCGGAUAGGAGCUCCUGCUGCACGGUGGCGGUUGGAAAGUUUCGGCGGUUGGGGAUGGACUCGCGGCUUAUCAGCUUGUUGGUGGGGUAGUGGCUUACCAAGGCUUUGACGGGUAGCCGGCCUGAGAGGGUGACCGGCCACAUUGGGACUGAGAUACGGCCCAGACUCCUACGGGAGGCAGCAGUGGGGAAUAUUGCACAAUGGGCGGAAGCCUGAUGCAGCAACGCCGCGUGCGGGAUGACGGCCUUCGGGUUGUAAACCGCUUUCGCCUGUGACGAAGCGUGAGUGACGGUAAUGGGUAAAGAAGCACCGGCUAACUACGUG